GAUGAACGCUGGCGGCGUGCCUAAUACAUGCAAGUCGAGCGAACGGACGAGAAGCUUGCUUCUCUGAUGUUAGCGGCGGACGGGUGAGUAACACGUGGAUAACCUACCUAUAAUACUGGUAUAACUUCGGGAAACCGGAUCUAAUACCGUAUAAUAUUUUGAACCGCAUGGUUCAAAAGUGAAAGACGGUCUUGCUGUCACUUAUAGAUGGAUCCGCGCUGCAUUAGCUAGUUGGUAAGGUAACGGCUUACCAAGGCAACGAUGCAUAGCCGACCUGAGAGGGUGAUCGGCCACACUGGAACUGAGACACGGUCCAGACUCCUACGGGAGGCAGCAGUAGGGAAUCUUCCGCAAUGGGCGAAAGCCUGACGGAGCAACGCCGCGUGAGUGAUGAAGGUCUUCGGAUCGUAAAACUCUGUUAUUAGGGAAGAACAUAUGUGUAAGUAACUGUGCACAUCUUGACGGUACCUAAUCAGAAAGCCACGGCUAACUACGUG
rnacentral:rRNA from 1 species